AUGGAUAAUAAUGGAAUCUGGGACAAAAUCUGGAAAUUGCGAUGUCCUGCAAAGGUGAAAGUAUUUCUUUGGAGAACACUCAGGGGGACUCUUCCGUGUAGGGUUAAUCUAGCAAACUGUCACAUCAAAGCAUCGGGACAGUGCCCAGUCUGCAACUGUGGAGCUGAGGAUGUGACACACCUCCUGUUUAGAUGUAAGAGAGCAACAGAAGUUUGGCGCCUCCUGGGACUUGAAAAUUUUAUUAAGAAAGCAUGUGGUGUGGAUAGAGCAGGUGAGUCUGUCCUUGAUUUUUUGAUGCAAACCCCAGCGAAGGAAAUUGCACUAAUCAGCCAGGCUAAUGUACAUGAGCUAAUCUCUAUCACUUCCUGGUAAAUUUGGUGGGAACAAAGGAGAGUGGUUUACGACAAGGUCAUACAGAGUGCAGAGAAAAUGGUGUCAUCAAUUAAAGCAAUUACAACAAACUUCAUAGCUUCCAUGGAGCCAAAGGCAGUAGCUAAGCCGGAGGGAUGGAUGAAGCCGCCUGCUAAUUUUGUCAAGCUCAAUGUCGACGCAGCGUUUAACCAGGAGCUUCUCACAGGGGCGGCUGGAGGAGUGCUACGGGACUCCUCUGGAUCGUUUAUUGCUGCAGGUAAUUGGAAACUGGAGCAUUGUGUUGAUGCUCUGUCCGCUGAAGUAAUGGCUCUAAAGAAGGGCCUAGAGUUGGCACAGAUGAUGGGAUGCAAUAAACUGAUGGUGAUCUCAGAUAAUCUAGAGGUGGUGGAAACGAUGAAUAACGGCGGUCGCUCAAUGGGAGUAGCGGCAGCUAUUUUUGAUGAUUGCUACAAUCUGGCUUGCGAGUUCCCUCGAUCUUAUUUUGAUCACUGUAAUAGAUUAGCAAAUUCAGUAGCGCAUAAGCUAGCUAGUAUGGCUAUGAGAGCUCAUUCUUCUCUGUGGGUGGAUAAUGCACCGCCGGAGAUUCUCCCUCUCUUAAUGAUGUAA
rnacentral:rRNA from 1 species